rnacentral:rRNA from 1 species
AGAACGAACGCUGGCGGCAUGCCUAACACAUGCAAGUCGAACGCGUGUAGCGAUACACGAGUGGCGGACGGGUAAGUAACGCGUGGGAACCUGCCCUGGAGUGUGGGAUAACCGAGGGAAACUUCGGCUAAUACCGCAUACGACCUGAGGGUGAAAGAUUUAUCGCUCUAGGAGGGGCCCGCGUCGGAUUAGCUAGUUGGUGGGGUAAAGGCCUACCAAGGCAGUGAUCCGUAGCUGGUCUGAGAGGAUGAUCAGCCACACUGGGACUGAGACACGGCCCAGACUCCUACGGGAGGCAGCAGUGGGGAAUAUUGGACAAUGGGGGCAACCCUGAUCCAGCAAUGCCGCGUGAGUGAUGAAGGCCUUAGGGUUGUAAAGCUCUUUCGCGCGCGACGAUGAUGACGGUAGCGCGAGAAGAAGCCCCGGCUAACUUCGCGCCAGCAGCCGC